CCUACGGGAGGCAGCAGUGGGGAAUAUUGCACAAUGGGGGAAACCCUGAUGCAGCGACGCCGCGUGAGUGAAGAAGUAUCUCGGUACGUAAAGCUCUAUCAGCAGGGACGAAAAUGACGGUACCUGACUAAGAAGCCCCGGCUAACUACGUUCCAGCAGCCGCGGUAAUACGUAGGGUGCAAGCGUUAUCCAGAUUUACUGGGUGUAAAGUGAGCGUAGACGGGAGGACAAGUCUGGAGUGAAAUCCCGGGGCUUAACCCCGGAACUGCUUUGGAAACUGGGCGGCUGGAGUGCAGGAGGGGUAAGCGGAAUUCCUAGUGUAGCGGUGAAAUGCGUAGAUAUUAGGAGGAACACCGGUGGCGAAGGCGGCUUACUGGACUGUAACUGACGUUGAGGCUCGAAAGCGUGGGGAGCAAACAGGAUUAGAUACCCUUGUAGUC
rnacentral:rRNA from 1 species